GUUUUAUCACCAUGGCAACUUAAACUUCCCGUCUAACCUGCUCUGGAGCAGGUUUUAUUCUGGGUCUCCCAGAACUGUCUCCAUGAGCCCCUGAAACGUUGCGGGAGCAUUUUUGAGCCCAAACCUUUGAGCCUGCAGGAGUGAUGAAGUGAUGAAAUGAUGACGGCUGCUCCUAACGCCAUACAGACUUCAUAUAAAUCCAUAAUGAACUUUUUCACACUAACUGUUGUUACCCAGAUGAGGAUGGGUUCCCUUCUGAGUCGGGUUCCUCUCAAGGUUUCUUCCUCUUAAAACAUCUUAGGGAGUUUUUCCUUGCCACCGUCGCCACUCAGUGGCUUGCUCAGUUGGGAUAAAUUCGCACCUUUAAUAUCUGUAUACCAUGUUGAUAUUUCUGUAAAGCUGCUUUGAGACAAUGUCUAUUGUAAAAAGCGCUAUACAAAUAAAAUUGAAUUGAAUUGAAUUGAAUUGAAUGAAGGCCAUCUUGGCUUUGCUGUUGACAAAACACAAUACAAUCUCAAAGAUCAGCGAUAACCAUUAAGCUUCCAUUAAGCUUAAAACAAUGAAUUAGCACGGAUAAGAAAUAAACCAAUGUGUGAAUGGGAAUGAAGUGUGGGUGUGUCUGAGUGUGUGAAUGAGUGUUGGUGUGAGAUCGCGGCGUCCGGGCACACUGACCGAUUUGGAGGAUGGGAUGGCAACUGGAGAAUGUAAUCAGCCCUCGUCAGGCUCCAAGAAGGGAGGUAACAGGCCUUGAACUUGUCUUUGAACAGCUCACCACGAACAGCCAUUUGUACAAGUGCUCUGUGUCGCACUGGACUGCAUGCACAGAAAGCAUUAGAUCAAAAGCGGCCGUCUCCCCACUCCACACAGUAACCAUAUCUUUUCCUCUCACUUGACAACCUUCUCACGAGCCAAGCCAACCUCGACUGGUGCCCGUCCUCUUUUCACCUCAUAGGUGAAAUAGGCCUCGCCUCCAUUUCCC
ensembl:lncRNA